UGGGGAAUCUUGCACAAUGGGCGAAAGCCUGAUGCAGCGACGCCGCGUGGGGGAUGAAGGCCCUCGGGUUGUAAACCCCUUUCGGCAGGGACGAAGCGACAAGUGACGGUACCUGCAGAAGAAGUCCCGGCUAACUACGUGCCAGCAGCCGCGGUAAGACGUAGGGGACGAGCGUUGUCCGGAUUUAUUGGGCGUAAAGCGCGCGCAGGCGGCUACGCAAGUCGGAUGUGAAAUCCCGAGGCUCAACCUCAGGACUGCACCCGAUACUGCGUGGCUAGAGGUAGGUAGGGGAGAUCGGAAUUCCUGGUGUAGCGGUGAAAUGCGCAGAUAUCAGGAGGAACACCGGUGGCGAAGGCGGAUCUCUGGGCCUUACCUGACGCUCAGGCGCGAAAGCUAGGGGAGCAAACAG
rnacentral:rRNA from 1 species